rnacentral:rRNA from 1 species
AAACAUAGCCUUUAGCAACACAAGUAUUAAAGGUCCCGCCUGCCCAGUGAAAUUUAUUUUUAACGGCCGCGGUAUUCUAACCGUGCAAAGGUAGCGUAAUCACUUGUCUUCUAAAUAAAGACUAGUAUGAACGGCUAAAUGAAGGUAAGACUGUCUCUUAUAAUUAAUCAGUGAAACUGACCUUCCAGUACAAACGCUGGAAUAAACACAUAAGACGAGAAGACCCCGUGGAGCUUAAAACUAAUCACUAACACAUUAUUACCCUAGUGCACUGUUUUCAGUUGGGGCGACUUCGGAAUAAAACAAAACUUCCGAGCACAGAACCACCACUUCCUACUGAGGCCAACAAGCCCAAGUACAACCUGACCCGGCUCCAAUGCCGAUCAACGAACCAAGUUACCCCGGGGAUAACAGCGCUAUCUUCUUCAAGAGUCCCUAUCAACAAGAAGGUUUACGACCUCGAUGUUGGAUCAGGACACCCAAAUGGUGCAGCCGCUAUUAAAGGUUCGUUUGUUCAACGAUUAACAGUCCUACGUGAUCUGAGUUC